UACGGAAGGCAGCAGUGGGGAAUAUUGCACAAUGGGCGCAAGCCUGAUGCAGCCAUGCCGCGUGUAUGAAAAGGGCCUUCGGGUUGUAAAGUACUUUCAGUCGUGAGGAAGGUGUUAAGGUUAAUAACCUUAGCAAUUGACGUUAGCGACAGAAGAAGCACCGGCUAACUCCGUGCCAGCAGCCGCGGUAAUACGGAGGGUGCGAGCGUUAAUCGGAAUUACUGGGCGUAAAGGGCACGCAGGCGGUUAAUUAAGUUGGAUGUGAAAUCCCCGGGCUUAACCUGGGAAUGGCAUUCAAGACUGGUUAGCUAGAGUCUUGUAGAGGGGGUAGAAUUCCAUGUGUAGCGGUGAAAUGCGUAGAGAUGUGGAGGAAUACCGGUGGCGAAGGCGGCCCCUGGACAAAGACUGACGCUCAUGUGCGAAAGCGUGGGGAGCAAACAGGGAUUAGAUACC
rnacentral:rRNA from 1 species